UCUGUCCCCACUUUACCAUAUGUAAGUCAUAUCUCAAAGUUCUUUUUUAAGCCGUGUACAUUUUUCUUGUCCCCUUCUCUCCUAAGUCUCAUGUCAUUUUGGGCUUUAGCCUUUCUGAACCUCUCUUGUACGUUCUUAAAAACUUUUGAUUUUAAGUGAGCUUUUUUUGUGACGUUUCCAUGUUCUGUUCUUAUCUUCUGAGUAUGAGAAUUUACCCUAACAUUCCUAAUGCUGUCUCUCUGGUUCCCUUAAACACAUAUGCUUAUUUUUCUUCCACUGGAGCCAGUUCUUCAUGUCAAUUUCAGCUUAGAGAUUCUCAUCCUACUUGAGGUUUAGUGUCUUUUCUCUGUGGUGUUUUGAAUUUUGAACUCUGCUUGCCCAAAGCUUUGGUUUUAGUAGAUCCACAGCCAGUAUUUUUUCUCUACAUCACAUAAAUUCCAAUGUGAUAUUGUAAUGUUCUCCAAGAAUCUUCCACUUCCCUGUUGAUAGUCAAUCCAGUCUCAUUGUCUUCAUUCUUUGCAGUGCUGAUAAGGCAAUCAAAGGGUAGAUCUGGUUCUGGGGCUUGUUCUGAUAGGGUAUCCUUGUAGGUAGUAGGCUCAUGCCCUGGGGAAGCUCUUUGCGGGUGAAUAAAAGGGGCUGCAAUACUGGGCAUCAUAGCCAAUUUUGCACUGAGCACCAUGUGCUUGAAUGAACAUAAUACAGAAAUGAGAAUCAUCUUCGAUCACAUCUAAAGGCAUGACUCUCUGCUGGACAGAAAUCUGCAUCAGGAAUAGUGAAGGUUACCAGAGCAGGAGGCUUUGUCUCAGCCCUAGUAUCUGAGGCCAGUUGGAGUCAUGAUAUUCCAACAGGGCAGCAGCAGCGUAACACAGGUCUCUAUGCUACCUUUGGUAGGAGAGAAAGCAAGUUAAUGGGACCAUGUUCUUGGGUAAUCAGAUCCUGAAUGGGGGCAUUCCCCUGCUGAAGGUUAGAUUUGAGUUUCAUUUCUAGGGAUGAAGUAAAAGCAAAUUGAAUUGAUCUUUUGAAUACAACAAGCAAGAGUCCUGAGGGAAUUCUGGACAUAUAUGGAGAAUUUUAAGCCAAGGCCAUAAAACAGAGAGGCUGCAUUUUCCGCUAAACUUUAAAUUGAACCAUCUCAGUUACUUAAGUGAUUUGGGAUAUAUAAGUCUUAUUGCAGAUACUCUUUUGUUACUUCUCCAUCGAAUUAGGAACACCACUCUCUUCACAAUGAAAAUAGUAUGGCAGAGUGGUUAUAAACCUGUGCUUUGGAAGGAGACAGACCUAAAAUCAAUCCUCAGUUCUAGCUAUUACAAGCUGAGUAAUCUUGGAUUAUCUAAUGUCUCAGACUCUUGGUUCCCACAAUUAUAAAAUAAUAUGACUAUAUUAAAUGAGAUAAUUUAUGUGAAGUGUUGUGAUGAACGUCUGGCAUAUUCUAAAUAUCUAGUGAGUGGUCAUUGUUAUUCUUACUAUUCCAUGAAAUAUCUAUUGUAUUCAUGUUAUUUGUUUUUGACUUUCAUAUGUAUAUUUUUAUCUUGUCACCCUCAAAUUUCAACUUACACAUAGCAUAAUAAUAUUGAUAAACCUUUCCAGUUUUCAUGGAACACAUGUUGGAUUUUGGCUUAAAAUAGUCUGAAAAUUUCGGACAUUAUGUGAUAGAACAAGCUUAAUUUUAAAAAUUUGAAGUCAGAGAAAAUUACUUAGAUUUGUUAUAUUAAAAGCUAUUUGAUAAUAAAAAGAAUUGCUCCUAAUAAAAAAUAAGACUAGUUCACCAAACCGAUGUAAAUAAAGUGUUUAAAGUGGCAAUAAAAAUGAGGCAGCUCACUUUCUUAGGAAGUGGUAUGCUUUUUAUAUUUUCUCAUAUAUUUAAACAAAUAUUCUUAGAAAAUUUUGAUUUUUUAUAAUAUUAUAAUAUUAUAAUAUUUUGCUCUUUAUUUUAGUUUUUUAAAGAUUUAUUUAUUUAUUUUAGAGAGAGAGUGGUGGGAGGGACAGGGAGAGGAAGAGAAUCUCAAACAGAUGCCCCACUGAAUGUGGAGUCCGACAUUGGGCUUCAUCCCACCACCCUGAGAUCAUGACCUGAGCCAAAAUCAAGAGCUGAAAGCUUAACUGACUGAGCCACCCAGGGGCCCCUGAGUAAUUUUUUAAAAUAAAAUAUUUGUAAGUAAAAAGAAAAGGAGAAUGGUCUCAAUUUAGUAGAUAUUUAACACAUUGAUAAAUGCAUAAAGGAAAGAGUUAAAAAUGCACAAAUUUUGUUUAGUAGGUGAAAUUUACAAAUAUUAAACAAAAACACAUAAAAACAAUGCAUGUAACCAAGUACUAAUGAUUUAUCUUGGCAAUUGUUUAAAAAUUAUAAAUGCCACUCUUUUAAAGGAUAAACCAUAUCUGGAAAAUGCAAUUGUCUUUCUGAUUCUGUUAAAAGGGGAAAUAACAAACACAUACUAAGCCAUGAUUUAAAAAAAAGUUAUUUAUUCAUGAGAGACACAGAGAGAGGCAGAGACAUAGGCAGAGGGAGAAGUAGGCUCCCUGCCUGGACCCUGAUGUGGGACUUGAUCCCAGGACCCCAGGAUCAGGACCUAAGCCAAAGGCAGACACUUAACCACUAAGCCACCCGGAUAUCCCAUAAGCCACGAUUUGAAUAACAUCAGGACCAUGUAUCUUGUGAAAUCUAUUUGUAAGUUUACUGAGAUUGGAUGAGAUUUAAGUACCAUCUCAAGAACUAAACUCUGAAUGAAAAAUAAACAAUAAAGAUAAUAAUGAAUGGCAAUGUUUCCAGUUAAGGUAUGAUGGCUGGUGAUACGAGUUUUGUGACCUGUCUUAUUUAACAGCUGGAUUAAUUAUGGAGGGAGCAGCCAGCAUGUCAAUUAAAUUUGAAGAUGAAUCUAAAUUGGGAGAUGCUACAAAUACCACUGAAAACCAAGACGUAAUGUUUGAAGUUAAAGGAAUUCAUGAAUAAAACUACCAUCAAAUAAUACUGAAGGACAAUAAAUCAGUAAAGUGAAGAUUUCAACUCUCUUGCUUUUAGUUUCUGAUUUUCUGAGGCAAAAGCUAAGUACAGAUCUUAAGCAUAAAAACAAUUUUUGAAUGGAAGCUAAUUUUUUUCCUUUAAAGGAAUGUCACAAAUUAUUUUAUCUUUUAGAGCUCAUCACUGUCAAGUGGGUACUUAAAAUUAUGUUUAGGGGAUAAGACAGAGUAGUGAAUUUUGCUGUAUUUGAUUGAGGAGGAUACUAAUUUGGAUCUUUCUGAUACAUAUCCUAUAAUGGUACACACAAGUCCAAGUCCUUGUUUGCUGUCCAAAUAGUUACUCUUAAUUCUCCUAAAUGUUGAAACUCUGGCUCUGAACUGCACCGGGUUUCUACUAGUUUUAUCUUGUUAAGCCAACUCAUCUGUCUGAACUUUUGCUUAUUUAUUACCCAGUCUCUAACUUGCCUGGUACUCAAAUUAUCUUCCGUCUACCAAACUAGUUGCUGGGCAAUUUCUGGACCUCUCAUUCUCCAGGCUCUCUCUCAUUCUCCAGGAGGCUUUGUGUAGUCUCAGCAUCCUAAAAAAAAAAUAAAAAAAAA
rnacentral:lncRNA from 1 species